GGAUGAACGCUAGCGGGAGGCUUAACACAUGCAAGUCGAGGGGUAAAUGGUAGCAAUACUAUGAGACCGGCGGACGGGUGCGUAACGCGUAUGCAACAUACCUUGUGCAGGGGGAUAGCCCGUGGAAACGCGGAUUAAUAUUCCAUAGUCCAGCUAUAUCGCAUGGUAUAGUUGGUAAAGAUUUAUCGGCACAAGUUUGGCAUGCGUCUGAUUAGCUUGUUGGUAGGGUAACGGCCUACCAAGGCUACGAUCAGUAGGGGUUCUGAGAGGAUUAACCCCCACACUGGUACUGAGACACGGACCAGACUCCUACGGGAGGCAGCAGUGAGGAAUAUUGGUCAAUGGGCGGAAGCCUGAACCAGCCAUCCCGCGUGAAGGAAGACAGCCUUACGGGUUGUAAACUUCUUUUCUGUCAGAAGAAUAAGCUUGUCGAGACGAGUGAUGCCGGUAUGACAGGAAUAAGCAUCGGCUAACUCCGUGCCAGCAGCCGCGGUAAUACGGAGGAUGCAAGCGUUAUCCGGAUUUAUUGGGUUUAAAGGGUGCGCAGGUUGUUUGAUAAGUCAGUGGUGAAAGUCUGUCGCUUAACGGUAGGAUUGCCAUUGAUACUGUUAGACUUGAAUAUGGAUGAGGUAGGCGGAAUGUGUAGUGUAGCGGUGAAAUGCAUAGAUAUUACACNNAACACCGAUUGCGAAGGCAGCUUACUAAUCCAUCAUUGACGCUGAGGCANNNAAGCGUGGGGAUCAAACAGGAUUAGAUACCCUGGUAGUCCACGNNNNNAACGAUGAUCACUCGCUGNUNGCGAUAUACAGUAAGCGGCUAAGCGAAAGCGUUAAGUGAUCCACCUGGGGAGUACGAUCGCAAGGUUGAAACUCAAAGGAAUUGGCGGGGGCCCGCACAAGCGGAGGAACAUGUGGUUUAAUUCGAUGAUACGCGAGGAACCUUACCUGGGCUUAAAUGUAGAGUGCAUUUUCUAGAGAUAGAAAUUCCCUUCGGGGCUUUCUGCAAGGUGCUGCAUGGUUGUCGUCAGCUCGUGCCGUGAGGUGUCAGGUUAAGUCCCAUAACGAGCGCAACCCUUAUCGUUAGUUGCCAGCUGGUAAAGCAGGGGACUCUAGCGAAACUGCCACCGUAAGGUGAGAGGAAGGUGGGGAUGACGUCAAAUCAGCACGGCCCUUAUGUCCAGGGCUACACACGUGUUACAAUGGCCGGUACAGAGGGCUGCUACCUGGUGACAGGAUGCUAAUCUCGAAAACCGGUCUCAGUUCGGAUCGAAGUCUGCAACUCGACUUCGUGAAGCCGGAUUCGCUAGUAAUCGCGCAUCAGCAACGGCGCGGUGAAUACGUUCCCGGGCCU
rnacentral:rRNA from 1 species